rnacentral:rRNA from 1 species
AGAGUUGAUCCUGGCUCAGAAUGAACGUUGGCGGCGUGGAUUAGGCAUGCAAGUCGUACGCCCCGCAAGGGGCGUGGCGCAAGGGUGAGUAAGGCGACGGCAACCAACCUCGGGGCCGGGCAUAGCCGCGGGAAACUGCGGGUAAUUCCCGGCGACGCGGCGGGGGGGCAUCCCCCGGCCGCCAAAGGUGCGAUUCCGCCCCGAGACGGGCCGUCGUGGUAUCAGCUAGUUGGCGGGGUAACGGCCCACCAAGGCUGGGACGCCUACCGGGCGUGCGAGCGUGGCCCGGCACACUGGGACUGAGACACUGCCCAGACACCUACGGGUGGCUGCAGUCGAGAAUCUUCGGCAAUGGGCGCAAGCCUGACCGAGCGACGCCGCGUGGAGGACGACGGCCUUCGGGUUGUAAACUCCUGUCGAGGGGGAACAAGGGGCGGUGCAGAGCCGCCCUUGAGUGAUCCCUGGAGGAAGCACGGGCUAAGUUCGUGCCAGCAGCCGCGGUAAGACGAACCGUGCGAACGUUAUUCGGAAUCACUGGGCUUAAAGCGCGUGUAGGCGGCCCGGCACGUCCGUCGCUGAAAGCCCCCGGCUCAACCGGGGAAGUGGCGCGGAUACGACCGGGCUGGAGGGGGGUAGGGGGCGCCGGAAC